rnacentral:rRNA from 1 species
UGGACGCAGCCUGAUGGAGCAACGCCGCGUGAACGAUGAAGGUCUUCGGAUUGUAAAGUUCUGUCGUCAGGGACGAAUUCGUACCGUUCGAACAGGGCGGUGCCUUGACGGUACCUGACUAGAAAGCCACGGCUAACUACGUG